rnacentral:rRNA from 1 species
UGAGUGCGAGCUGCUACGGCAGCGAAGUUGGUGAUGUCAUGCUUCCAAGAAAAGCCCUAUACCCGUUAAGGCAUCAUGGCCUGUACCCGAAACCGACACAGGUGGGGUGGUAGAGAAUACCGAGGGGCGCGAGGUAACUCUCUCUAAGGAACUCGGCAAAAUGGCCCCGUAACUUCGGGAGAAGGGGUGCCACCGCAAGGUGGUCGCAGUGAAGAGGCCCAGGGGGCUGUUUACCAAAAACACAGGUCUCCGCUAAGUCGCAAGACGAUGUAUGGGGGCUGACGCCUGCCCAGUGCCGGAAGGUUAAGGAAGCUGGUCAGCGCAAGCGAAGCUAGCGACUGAAGCCCCGGUGAACGGCGGCCGUAACAAUAACGGUCCUAAGGUAGCGAAAUUCCUUGUCGGGUAAGUUCCGACCCGCACGAAAGGCGUAACGAUCUGGGCGCUGUCUCGGAGAGAGGCUCGGCGAAAUAGAAUUGUCUGUGAAGAUGCGGACUACGUGCACCCGGACAGAAAGACCCUAUGAAGCUUUACUGUAGCUUGGUAUUGUGCCCGGGCUCGCAAUGCGCAGGAUAGGUGGGAGGCUUUGAUCAUCGGCUUGCGGGUCGAUGUGAGCCAACGGUGAGAUACCACUCUUUGCGAGCUAGGGUUCUAACGGCCACCCGUCAUCCGGGGGCCGGACAGUACCUGGUGGGCAGUUUGACUGGGGCGGUCGCCUCCUAAAAGGUAACGGAGGCGCGCAAAGGUUUGCUCAGGCUGGUUGGAAAUCAGCCGACGAGUGUAAAAGCAGAAGCAAGCUUGACUGUGAGACCAACAAGUCGAACAGGGAGGAAACUCGGCUUUAGUGAUCCGACGGUUCUGAGUGGAAGGGCCGUCGCUCAACGGAUAAAAGUUACUCUAGGAUAACAGGCUGAUCUCCCCCAAGAGUUCACAUCGACGGGGAGGUUUGGCACCUCGAUGUCGGCUCAUCGCAACCUGGGGCUGAAGUCGGUCCCAAGGGUUGGGCUGUUCGCCCAUUAAUCGGUACGCGAGCUGGGUUCAGAACGUCGUGAGACAGUUCGGUCCAUAUCCGGUGCACGCGCAGGAAUAUUGAGAGGAUUUCUCCCUAGUACGAGAGGACCGGGAGGAACGCACCUCUGGUGUACCAGUUAUCGUGCCAACGGUAAACGCUGGGUAGCCAUGUGCGGAGUGGAUAACCGCUGAAAGCAUCUAAGUGGGAAGCCCACCUCAAGAUGAGUAUUCCCAUGGCGUAAGCCAGUAAGGUCACGGGAAGAACACCCGUUGAUAGGCUCUAUGUGGAAGCGCAGUAAUGCGUGAAGCAGAGGAGUACUAAUAGACCGAGGGCUUGACCAU